AACUCAUAGGCUGUAUCUUAUUUUUUUCCUUUUAAUUCAAAAGUUAUAAUCUAGGACAUGCCUAAAAUAUAAUAUGGGUCAAAUCUGCAUUGGUGAACUGACAUUACUCACAUACAGUAUAUCAUCCACACAGAUCCCAGCGGGCACAUUGACGUCAAUUUGACAUCAACAAAUAGUCAAGAUUUUGACCACCAUGUAUGACAUGCAUGAAUAUGCAUAUUUUCAUUAUAUUACAAGUAGCCAGGUGCCAUCCAGAAGUCACAACCUGGCAUCACAGAAGCUUCCAUUGGUAGCCUGAUGGCCAACCAUUUGCGCGCUGCGCCGGACAGAAGAGGGGGCACUGGGCGCCGGAAGGCACUUGAGAGCUCUGGAAGUGUGAAUCCAUAGCGGCCCCACUAUAUUACAAAAAAAUAAAAUAAAAACAUAUCAGAUCUCAAAGUAUGUGUAUGUUGUCAGUCAUUGUACAUUUAGGUUGAAAUUGAGUAAUGCUUGACAUUGAAAUAUCAAAAUAUGUCAAUAAAUUUGUGAUGUCAAAAAUAUGUCAAAAAAUGUUUGAUGUCACAUUUAUGUUGAAUUGAUAUCGAAGCUUGAUAUUGAAUGAUAUCAAAAUAGCAUUAAAAUGACAUCAACAUCAUGACAUCCUGACAUCAAAUAGAUGUAGAAUUGACAUCAAAUGCCAACAAAGCAUGACAUCAAAAUAACAUCAAAAUGACAUCA